rnacentral:rRNA from 1 species
GAAUGCUGACAUAAGUAACGAUAAAGCGGGUGAAAAGCCCGCUCGCCGGAAGACCAAGGGUUCCUGUCCAACGUUAAUCGGGGCAGGGUGAGUCGACCCCUAAGGCGAGGCCGAAAGGCGUAGUCGAUGGGAAACGGGUUAAUAUUCCCGUACUUGGUGUUACUGCGAAGGGGGGACGGAGAAGGCUAUGUUGGCCGGGCGACGGUUGUCCCGGUUUAAGCGUGUAGGCUGGUUUUCCAGGCAAAUCCGGAAAAUCAAGGCUGAGGCGUGAUGACGAGGCACUACGGUGCUGAAGCAACAAAUGCCCUGCUUCCAGGAAAAGCCUCUAAGCAUCAGGUAACAUCAAAUCGUACCCCAAACCGACACAGGUGGUCAGGUAGAGAAUACCAAGGCGCUUGAGAGAACUCGGGUGAAGGAACUAGGCAAAAUGGUGCCGUAACUUCGGGAGAAGGCACGCUGACACGUAGGUGAAGUGAUUUACUCAUGGAGCUGAAGUCAGUCGAAGAUACCAGCUGGCUGCAACUGUUUAUUAAAAACACAGCACUGUGCAAACACGAAAGUGGACGUAUACGGUGUGACGCCUGCCCGGUGCCGGAAGGUUAAUUGAUGGGGUCAGCGCAAGCGAAGCUCCUGAUCGAAGCCCCGGUAAACGGCGGCCGUAACUAUAACGGUCCUAAGGUAGCGAAAUUCCUUGUCGGGUAAGUUCCGACCUGCACGAAUGGCGUAAUGAUGGCCAGGCUGUCUCCACCCGAGACUCAGUGAAAUUGAACUCGCUGUGAAGAUGCAGUGUACCCGCGGCAAGACGGAAAGACCCCGUGAACCUUUACUAUAGCUUGACACUGAACAUUGAGCCUUGAUGUGUAGGAUAGGUGGGAGGCUUUGAAGUGUGGACGCCAGUCUGCAUGGAGCCGACCUUGAAAUACCACCCUUUAAUGUUUGAUGUUCUAACGUGGACCCGUUACCCGGGUUGCGGACAGUGUCUGGUGGGUAGUUUGACUGGGGCGGUCUCCUCCUAAAGAGUAACGGAGGAGCACGAAGGUUGGCUAAUCCUGGUCGGACAUCAGGAGGUUAGUGCAAUGGCAUAAGCCAGCUUGACUGCGAGCGUGACGGCGCGAGCAGGUGCGAAAGCAGGUCAUAGUGAUCCGGUGGUUCUGAAUGGAAGGGCCAUCGCUCAACGGAUAAAAGGUACUCCGGGGAUAACAGGCUGAUACCGCCCAAGAGUUCAUAUCGACGGCGGUGUUUGGCACCUCGAUGUCGGCUCAUCACAUCCUGGGGCUGAAGUAGGUCCCAAGGGUAUGGCUGUUCGCCAUUUAAAGUGGUACGCGAGCUGGGUUUAGAACGUCGUGAGACAGUUCGGUCCCUAUCUGCCGUGGGCGCUGGAGAACUGAGGGGGGCUGCUCCUAGUACGAGAGGACCGGAGUGGACGCAUCACUGGUGUUCGGGUUGUCAUGCCAAUGGCACUGCCCGGUAGCUAAAUGCGGAAGAGAUAAGUGCUGAAAGCAUCUAAGCACGAAACUUGCCCCGAG